AAUGAUAUUGUGGAGUAUUGAUUAUACUAUCGAGAAAUCUUGGACUAGUGUGUUAAUUGUCCCUGUUUCCUCGCCCGUCAAUCUACGCCCGCAAUGGAGCAUUGCACCCGAGCGAAGCCGGGGCGGGUCGCUAGUCGCUAAUAAUGAAGGUUCUGGAUAGUUCAAUAAGUGGGUAAACAAGAUAGCAAUGGAGAUUACCUCUGCAAUGUUCAGCGAUUCGAACGUAUAAAAGUAAAAAUACAUAGAUAACUUUUACUUACAAUCAUUAAACGUGUUACUUACUUA